UACUCGAGUGGCGAACGGGUGAGUAACACGUGGGUGAUCUGCCCUGCACUUCGGGAUAAGCUUGGGAAACUGGGUCUAAUACCGGAUAGGAGCCAUCUUUAGUGUGGUGGUUGGAAAGUUUUUUCGGUGUAGGAUGAGCUCGCGGCCUAUCAGCUUGUUGGUGGGGUAAUGGCCUACCAAGGCGGCGACGGGUAGCCGGCCUGAGAGGGUGUACGGCCACAUUGGGACUGAGAUACGGCCCAGACUCCUACGGGAGGCAGCAGUGGGGAAUAUUGCACAAUGGGCGCAAGCCUGAUGCAGCGACGCCGCGUGGGGGAUGAAGGCCUUCGGGUUGUAAACUCCUUUCGCUAGGGACGAAGCUUUUUGUGACGGUACCUAGAUAAGAAGCACCGGCUAACUACGUGCCAGCAGCCGCGGUAAUACGUAGGGUGCGAGCGUUGUCCGGAAUUACUGGGCGUAAAGGGCUCGUAGGUGGUUUGUCGCGUCGUCUGUGAAAUUCUGGGGCUUAACUCCGGGCGUGCAGGCGAUACGGGCAUAACUUGAGUGCUGUAGGGGUAACUGGAAUUCCUGGUGUAGCGGUGAAAUGCGCAGAUAUCAGGAGGAACACCGAUGGCGAAGGCAGGUUACUGGG
rnacentral:rRNA from 1 species